rnacentral:rRNA from 1 species
AGCCCAGAGCCUGAAUCAGUGUGUGUGUUAGUGGAAGCGUCUGGAAAGGCGCGCGAUACAGGGUGACAGCCCCGUACACAAAAAUGCACAUGCUGUGAGCUCGAUGAGUAGGGCGGGACACGUGGUAUCCUGUCUGAAUAUGGGGGGACCAUCCUCCAAGGCUAAAUACUCCUGACUGACCGAUAGUGAACCAGUACCGUGAGGGAAAGGCGAAAAGAACCCCGGCGAGGGGAGUGAAAAAGAACCUGAAACCGUGUACGUACAAGCAGUGGGAGCCUCUUUUAUGGGGUGACUGCGUACCUUUUGUAUAAUGGGUCAGCGACUUAUAUUCUGUAGCAAGGUUAACCGAAUAGGGGAGCCGAAGGGAAACCGAGUCUUAACUGGGCGUUAAGUUGCAGGGUAUAGACCCGAAACCCGGUGAUCUAGCCAUGGGCAGGUUGAAGGUUGGGUAACACUAACUGGAGGACCGAACCGACUAAUGUUGAAAAAUUAGCGGAUGACUUGUGGCUGGGGGUGAAAGGCCAAUCAAACCGGGAGAUAGCUGGUUCUCCCCGAAAGCUAUUUAGGUAGCGCCUCGUGAAUUCAUCUCCGGGGGUAGAGCACUGUUUCGGCAAGGGGGUCAUCCCGACUUACCAACCCGAUGCAAACUGCGAAUACCGGAGAAUGUUAUCACGGGAGACACACGGCGGGUGCUAACGUCCGUCGUGAAGAGGGAAACAACCCAGACCGCCAGCUAAGGUCCCAAAGUCAUGGUUAAGUGGGAAACGAUGUGGGAAGGCCCAGACAGCCAGGAUGUUGGCUUAGAAGCAGCCAUCAUUUAAAGAAAGCGUAAUAGCUCACUGGUCGAGUCGGCCUGCGCGGAAGAUGUAACGGGGCUAAACCAUGCACCGAAGCUGCGGCAGCGACGCUGAUGCGUUGUUGGGUAGGGGAGCGUUCUGUAAGCCUGCGAAGGUGUGCUGUGAGGCAUGCUGGAGGUAUCAGAAGUGCGAAUGCUGACAUAAGUAACGAUAAAGCGGGUGAAAAGCCCGCUCGCCGGAAGACCAAGGGUUCCUGUCCAACGUUAAUCGGGGCAGGGUGAGUCGACCCCUAAGGCGAGGCCGAAAGGCGUAGUCGAUGGGAAACAGGUUAAUAUUCCUGUACUUGGUGUUACUGCGAAGGGGGGACGGAGAAGGCUAUGUUGGCCGGGCGACGGUUGUCCCGGUUUAAGCGUGUAGGCUGGUUUUCCAGGCAAAUCCGGAAAAUCAAGGCUGAGGCGUGAUGACGAGGCACUACGGUGCUGAAGCAACAAAUGCCCUGCUUCCAGGAAAAGCCUCUAAGCAUCAGGUAACAUCAAAUCGUACCCCAAACCGACACAGGUGGUCAGGUAGAGAAUACCAAGGCGCUUGAGAGAACUCGGGUGAAGGAACUAGGCAAAAUGGUGCCGUAACUUCGGGAGAAGGCACGCUGAUAUGUAGGUGAAGUCCCUCGCGGAUGGAGCUGAAAUCAGUCGAAGAUACCAGCUGGCUGCAACUGUUUAUUAAAAACACAGCACUGUGCAAACACGAAAGUGGACGUAUACGGUGUGACGCCUGCCCGGUGCCGGAAGGUUAAUUGAUGGGGUUAGCGCAAGCGAAGCUCUUGAUCGAAGCCCCGGUAAACGGCGGCCGUAACUAUAACGGUCCUAAGGUAGCGAAAUUCCUUGUCGGGUAAGUUCCGACCUGCACGAAUGGCGUAAUGAUGGCCAGGCUGUCUCCACCCGAGACUCAGUGAAAUUGAACUCGCUGUGAAGAUGCAGUGUACCCGCGGCAAGACGGAAAGACCCCGUGAACCUUUACUAUAGCUUGACACUGAACAUUGAGCCUUGAUGUGUAGGAUAGGUGGGAGGCUUUGAAGUGUGGACGCCAGUCUGCAUGGAGCCGACCUUGAAAUACCACCCUUUAAUGUUUGAUGUUCUAACGUGGACCCGUAAUCCGGGUUGCGGACAGUGUCUGGUGGGUAGUUUGACUGGGGCGGUCUCCUCCUAAAGAGUAACGGAGGAGCACGAAGGUUGGCUAAUCCUGGUCGGACAUCAGGAGGUUAGUGCAAUGGCAUAAGCCAGCUUGACUGCGAGCGUGACGGCGCGAGCAGGUGCGAAAGCAGGUCAUAGUGAUCCGGUGGUUCUGAAUGGAAGGGCCAUCGCUCAACGGAUAAAAGGUACUCCGGGGAUAACAGGCUGAUACCGCCCAAGAGUUCAUAUCGACGGCGGUGUUUGGCACCUCGAUGUCGGCUCAUCACAUCCUGGGGCUGAAGUAGGUCCCAAGGGUAUGGCUGUUCGCCAUUUAAAGUGGUACGCGAGCUGGGUUUAGAACGUCGUGAGACAGUUCGGUCCCUAUCUGCCGUGGGCGCUGGAGAACUGAGGGGGGCUGCUCCUAGUACGAGAGGACCGGAGUGGACGCAUCACUGGUGUUCGGGUUGUCAUGCCAAUGGCACUGCCCGGUAGCUAAAUGCGGAAGAGAUAAGUGCUGAAAGCAUCUAAGCACGAAACUUGCCCCGAGAUGAGUUCUCCCUGAC